rnacentral:rRNA from 1 species
UGAUCAUGGCUCAGGACGAACGCUGGCGGCGUGCCUAAUACAUGCAAGUCGAGCGAAUCAAUUGGGAGCUUGCUCCCUUUUGAUUAGCGGCGGACGGGUGAGUAACACGUGGGUAACCUGCCUGUAAGACUGGGAUAACUCCGGGAAACCGGGGCUAAUACCGGAUAAGUUGUUCCUCCGCAUGGAGGAACAUUGAAAGAUGGCUUCGGCUAUCACUUACAGAUGGACCCGCGGCGCAUUAGCUAGUUGGUGAGGUAACGGCUCACCAAGGCAACGAUGCGUAGCCGACCUGAGAGGGUGAUCGGCCACACUGGGACUGAGACACGGCCCAGACUCCUACGGGAGGCAGCAGUAGGGAAUCUUCCGCAAUGGACGAAAGUCUGACGGAGCAACGCCGCGUGAGUGAUGAAGGUUUUCGGAUCGUAAAACUCUGUUGUUAGGGAAGAACAAGUACCGUUCGAAUAGGGCGGUACCUUGACGGUACCUAACCAGAAAGCCACGGCUAACUACGUGCCAGCAGCCGCGGUAAUACGUAGGUGGCAAGCGUUGUCCGGAAUUAUUGGGCGUAAAGCGCGCGCAGGCGGUUUCUUAAGUCUGAUGUG